AUGUCCAGUGAGGACAUCUCCUUGCUUGCUCAAACAAAAAGGGGAAUUCGUAGUCACUUUUUCCUGUCGCGUAAAAAAAAGUCUUUACGCGAGAGCAAUAGAGGUUGGGAUACAUCUAUCUCUUCUGAGCAACCUCUUUUGGAUUCUUAA
rnacentral:rRNA from 1 species